UUCAUUUAUUUUUAGUUAGUUUAAUUAAUUGAGAAUGAUACAAGAGUAAUUGCACUCACUCCCUGUACAAAACAAACUAAGUGCAUAUUUGCACAGGAAGGAAAGCACAUUUUUUCGCUGAUGUGUAUUUUUUUAAUUACACUGCUACUCUUGUAUAAAACUCUUAUCUAUAAUAAAACUUUUACCUAUAGCCUCGUCAACUUUGCAAAGCUCUUUUCGAUGUUUAUUCUUUCUUUUUGUUCACUUCGCCUCUCUCUCUCUAGUCUCUACAAAUUCACAGCAAAAAUGAAAGCUUCGAUUUUGUAUCCAUUUUUGAAAAAAAAAAAAAAGCUUCGUAGUUAUCUGUUUGAGCUCAUCCGUUUUUUUUCCUCGAGGAUCUCAUUUUCCGGUUUCAGACAAAGACAAAAGCUUAAAGCUUCUUUCCGUAUUGUCUUCUGGGUUGAAUAACAAAGCCAGGAAGAAAGGAUCAUCUCCCCAACUGACUCCUCCUCCGCUGAUCACUUGCACACCAUUUUUUUGUUUUAUUUCUCAGGGGAAUUUUGUAUGUAUAUCUGGCUAAACAACCAUUUUAAUCAUAUGUAUUGCGAUUUGUUAAAGAUUUAAUUCUAUGUUUAGCUGGACAUCUAUAUCUAAUCAUAUGUUUUGUGAUUUAUUAGAGAGUUAAUUUUUUAUUUAUCCGAAUUGAUAAAAAAUAACCACCACCAAUUGAUAUAAUAACCGGUAAAUAUAAAUUAAAUACCAGUUAACAUGAAAAAUAUAUAGCUAAAUCAGAAUAUAACAAUGCUAAUUUAAAAAUGAUCCAUAUAAGUGAGAUUAUAUCCAGCUAACUUACAUAUUAACUAUAUAUCCAGCUAAUUUUAAAUUGAUCCAUAUAUGUGAAAUUAUAUCCAGCUAACUUGCAUAUUACAUAUAUAUGAGUAAGUGUGUUUGAUGAAAGGGGCAAAUGGUAAAAUACUCCCGACAAAAGCUACUGACAACCAUGUUUUUUUGUGCUUUUACUCCAUCCUUGCAAAUUUAUUACUUAUUGUGUAAUUUUGUUGCAAAUCGCUCAUGAUACAAUCUAUUACACCAAAAAAAAGAGCAAUUGCAUUGAAUAUACAUGGAUGUAGACAUAACUAGUUUUCUAACGCUGGCCACUAUUUAUACACUGCUCACUUUCAUUUAUUCCAAUUUUGACCCUAUCUAGCUUUUAUUAUUUCUGUUAGAAAUAGGGUAUACGUAAAAAAAAACUGAUAAUGAAGGGCUUAUGCGUUAUUUGUCCCAGCUGCAUAUAUAUAUCGACUAAUUAUGUAAAGUAUUACACGUUUUUGCAACUGUGAGAUGUUUCAUGUAUAUUUAUCUAAAUGACUCAAAAAAAUCCAUCUUAUAUACUUCGGUUGUCAUUUUUUGCUUUGUGUGGUUGGUGGUUCACUAGUCUUGCCACCCUUGUACUAUUUUCUGUUUUGCCUUUUAUGCUUUGUUUUCUUCUUUAACACUAGUGAAAUCAACUACAUCAUUAUAUAAUGUAUAUAUCUAUUUAUUGAUGAUUAAAGUACCUACAACAAAAAACAAUAUGAUGAACACAUUCACAUACAAUGAUUCUACAAUGUAGUUCUCUCUGUAACACAUAGAUCGGUGAACGUUUAUGUAUCUACGAUAUUCAACUUCCGAUAAGCCUUGCAUUCUAAAAUCUGCAAAAAAAUUACAUCUUCUGGCAAUCGAAUCCCAAACCUAGUGUCUAAGCCUUUUUAAAUCUUGAUCACUAAGCCAUUGUACUUCCAUAGUGCUUUUUUCCUUUCUUUGUCAUUUUUCUUGUUCGAAUUUCUCCGGAUUUUUACCGAUUAUCUUAUGAAUCUCUCUGAACUUAUAGAGGUCCAUGGCUUCUCAAGAGGGAGAGCUUUUAAAGGUGGUAGUGCUUUUAAUGUUGUCGUGGUGUUGUUUGCAUUCCGCUGUUGCUAGGAUUCUACUAAGAUCUGAGCCGAAAGUUUCUGAUGGAUGGUUGUUAGCAAUAUAUAUCUCUUUGGUUCCUCUUGCUCAACGCGGUUCUCUCUUAGUUCUUCACCUUUAAUUGCAUGCAAGUAUAUGAAUUUUCUUCGGUUUAAUUUUGUGUUUGUGGGUUGGUUAGUUUCUUUGUUCAGGUGUUGUUCUUGGGUUUGAUUUGUUUUUGCUGGUCUGGGAUAGCUUCGGUUUAGUUGCUUGUUUGGGUUUGGUUUUCGUCGAUUAGCUUCUUUUUAGUUUGGUUAAUCUUUGUGUUGCCUAUUCUACCGUCCCUAGAGUAGUUAAAUAAAUAGUUCUCAUCUUUGGUCUUUCUUAGACUAUUCUUGGAAGGCUGGGCUUAUUUCGGGAUGCAUAGUUCAUAUUUUAUACCUUUUAAGUUGAAGAUUAGGUGGUUAAAUGGUUGAUUCUCGGUUAUGGUUUAUUGUUGGUUUAUAGGUCUCUUGUGUUUUGCUCGUGGUUCCUAGGGCAUCUCCGGUUCGAGUGUUAGUCCGCCAAGAAGCUUCUCUUGAGCUUUGCACUGCCGCGAAUACUGCUCGUUCUAUACUUAUGUGGAUAUUGUGCAUCUCUUUCUUACUUGGUUACAUUUGAUUGUAUCUUUUGUUUUAAUUAAGUUUUAGGUUGGCUUGGUAUUUUUUUUUUGCUUUCAGAGGAGUGUCUUUUACCAAUUUUUGUGUGUUUUCUUUAAAUUUUAGAGUUGUGGUUUUGGUAAAAUUCUCAGACUUAGGGUCUGACUGGUUUAAACGCAGCUGUUGCGGUUGCGGCUGCGGGCGUUUGCGGAUGCGGGUGGUUGCGGUUUCUAGCGGUUUUAAGAGAUUUGUACGAUUGGUUCUGCGGUUAGAAAUUGGUGCGUUUGCGGGAUACUUAUGACUGGUUAACUACCAAAUACAGCAGUGGUUAAAUAAUAAAUUAACAAUAUUUACAUUUUAUAUAAUUAUAAAAA